AUGCUUGGAGACACUCACCCUGCUGAAGUAUU
rnacentral:piRNA from 1 species